rnacentral:rRNA from 1 species
AUUGAACGCUGGCGGCAGGCUUAACACAUGCAAGUCGAGCGGGGUGAUGGUGCUUGCAUUAUCACUUAGCGGCGGACGGGUGAGUAAUGCUUAGGAAUCUGCCUAUUAGUGGGGGACAACAUCGCGAUAGGGAUGCUAAUACUGCAUACGUCCUACGGGAGAAAGCAGGGGAUCACUUGUGACCUUGCGUUAAUAGAUGAGCUUAAGUCGGAGUAGCUAGUUGGUGGGUUAAAGGCCUACCAAGGCGACGAUCUGUAGCGGGUCUGAGAGGAUGAUCCGCCACACUGGUACUGGGACACGGCCCAGACUCCUACGGGAGGCAGCAGUGGGGAAUAUUGGACAAUGGGUGGAACCCUGAUCCAGCCAUGCCGCGUGUGUGAAGAAGGCCUUAUGGUUGUAAAGCACUUUAAGCGAGGAGGAGGCUCUUUUGGUUAAUACCCAAGAUGAGUGGACGUUACUCGCAGAAUAAGCACCGGCUAACUCUGUGCCAGCAGCCGCCGUAA